GACGAACGCUGGCGGCGUGCUUAACACAUGCAAGUCGAACGAUGAAGCUGGAGCUUGCUCCGGUGGAUUAGUGGCGAACGGGUGAGUAACACGUGAGCAAUCUGCCCUUGACUCUGGGAUAACUGCGGGAAACUGUAGCUAAUACCGGAUACUUUCACUGGAAGGCAUCUUCUGGUGAAGAAAGAAUUUCGGUCAAGGAUGAGCUCGCGGCCUAUCAGCUUGUUGGUGAGGUAACGGAUCACCAAGGAGACGACGGGUAGCCGGACUGAGAGGUUGACCGGCCAAAAUGGGACUGAGACACGGCCCAGACUCCUACGGGAGGCAGCAGUGGGGAAUAUUGCACAAUGGGCGCAAGCCUGAUGCAGCAACGCCGCGUGAGGGAUGAAGGCCUUCGGGUUGUAAACCUCUUUUAGCAGGGAAGAAGCGAAAGUGACGGUACCUGCAGAAAAAGCACCGGCUAACUACGUGCCAGCAGCCGCGGUAA
rnacentral:rRNA from 1 species